CGGUUGAUCCUGCCGGAGGCCACUGCUCUGUUGGUCCGACUAAGCCGUGCGAGUCAUGGGGCGCCUUGCGCGCUUCGGCGGACGGCUCAGUAACACGUCGGUAACCUACCCUCGGGAGGGGGAUAACCCCGGGAAACUGGGGCUAAUCCCCCGUAGGCCUGAGGUACUGGAAGGUCCUCAGGCCGAAAGGGUCUUUGACCGCCCGAGGAUGGGCCGGCGGCCGAUUAGGUAGUUGGUGGGGUAACGGCCCACCAAGCCGAAGAUCGGUACGGGCCAUGAGAGUGGGAGCCCGGAGAUGGACACUGAGACACGGGUCCAGGCCCUACGGGGCGCAGCAGGCGCGAAACCUCCGCAAUGCUCGAAAGAGCGACGGGGGGACCCCCAGUGCCGUGGCAUCGCCACGGCUUUUCCGGAGUGUAAAGAGCUCCGGGAAUAAGGGCUGGGCAAGGCCGGUGGCAGCCGCCGCGGUAAUACCGGCGGCCCGAGUGGUGGCCGCUAUUAUUGGGCCUAAAGCGUCCGUAGCCGGGCCAGUAAGUCCCUGGCGAAAUCCCACGGCUCAACCGUGGGGCUUGCUGGGGAUACUGCUGGCCUUGGGACCGGGAGAGGCGGAGGGUACUCCUGGGGUAGGGGUGAAAUCCUAUAAUCCCAGGAGGACCGCCAGUGGCG
rnacentral:rRNA from 1 species